GUGGUCGGCCCUAGGGGCGGUUGUUAGCUCUCGUUGGUCUGUGGUGCUGUUGAGACAUUCAUUGUUCCUCGUUAGUCACAGGGACCUGUGAUGAGACUGAGGAGAACUGGUGAUUAAAUACUGCCUGCCUCGGUGUGUGGGGAGCUGAACUGUGUACGCUGAUGCAAAGGGAGUGAAGUGGGAAGUUCUCACAGAGGCUUGAUGUCAGAAUCAGACAAGAGGCGAUCAGUAAACGUGGGAGCACAAGUAUGUGCAGGAGCAGUGCUGGCAACAGCAGAAAACAGGACAAGGAGAAGAAGAAGCUGUGCCAGGAGAUGAUGACAUCACCUCUGCUGGUGUGUUGGACCAUGGGAUAAGGUGUCCCAGAGCUGACCGAGGUAAAUUGUAACUAUUCUCCGUAGCAAAAGCCAAGGUUCUUCUUCAGACCAAGGGGCACAUUCAGAUGUAAAACUCAAGCAAUCAGUUGUUUCCAAAUGCACAGGUGGGUCAAGGGAAGGAGUCAGCAAUCCCUGGGCACUUUUAUGAUCUCAUUAAUUUCUGAAGCGUAUCAGCCUGUGGUUCAUAUAGACUCUGACAGAUGUACUUGGCCAAAACCUAGAAACAGGAAUAUGUGGGUGGCAGAAUAACUCUGGAUGAGACAGGAAUAGACUCUUAUCAGCAGAAUGAAAUCAUCAACCCUUUAUUGGUUUGAAUUGCAUACUGUCACUGUCCUGCAGAGUCACAUCUCCGGCUAAUAUAUCAGCUGAGCACCUUCCCCAUAGCAGCAUUAUCAGCAGAGAAUGAAACCCUUAGCAAUGUGCGUUAAUCAUAUAGGAAUCCUGGGUUUAGUUUUGGGCUCCUCACU